UCCACGCCGUAAACGAUGAUCACUAGACAUUGGCGAUAUACUGUCGGUGUCAAAGCGAAAGUAUUAAGUGAUCCACCUGGGGAGUACGGUCGCAAGACUGAAACUCAAAGGAAUUGACGGGGGCCCGCACAAGCGGUGGAGCAUGUGGUUUAAUUCGAUGAUACGCGAGGAACCUUACCUGGGCUUAAAUGCAGAACGACAGACUGGGAAACCAGUCCUUCC
rnacentral:rRNA from 1 species